AACGAACGCUGGCGGCAUGCCUAACACAUGCAAGUCGAACGAGACCUUCGGGUCUAGGGGCGCACGGGUGCGUAACGCGGGGGAACCUGCCCUUAGGUUCGGAAUAACUCCCCGAAAGGGGUGCUAAUACCGGAUAAUGUCUUCGGACCAAAGAUUUAUCGCCUUUGGAUGGGCCCGCGUUGGAUUAGCUAGUUGGUAGGGUAAAAGCCUACCAAGGCGACGAUCCAUAGCUGGUCUGAGAGGAUGAUCAGCCACACUGGGACUGAGACACGGCCCAGACUCCUACGGGAGGCAGCAGUGGGGAAUAUUGGACGCUGGGCGCAAGCCUGAUCCCGCCAUGCCGCGUGAGUGAUGAAGGCCUUAGGGUUGUAAAGCUCUUUUACCCGGGAUGAUAAUGACAGUACCGGGAGAAUAAGCACCGGCUAACUCCGUG
rnacentral:rRNA from 1 species